GACGAACGCUGGCGGCGUGCUUAACACAUGCAAGUCGAACGGAAAGGCCUCUUUCGGGCGGUACUCACGUGGCGAGCGGGUGAGUAACAAGUGAGUAACCUGCCCUUGACUUUGGGAUAAAUUCAGGAAACUGGCGCUAAUACCGGAUAGGAGAUCUUGCUGCAUGGUUGGGUUGGAAGGUUUCGGCGGUUGUGGAUGGACUCGCGGGUUAUCAGCUUGUUGGUGGGGUAGUGGCUUACCAAGGCGUUGACGGGUAGCCGGACUGAGAGGGUGACCGGCCACAUUGGGACUUAGAUACGGCCCAGACUCCGACGGGAGGGAGCUGUGGGGAAUAUUGCAAGAUGGGUGGAAGCCGGAUGCAGCACCGCCGGGUGCGGGAUGACGGUCUUAGUGUUGUAAACCGCUUUCGCUCAUGACGAAGCUUGGCGUGACGGUAGUGGGUAAGGAAGCAGCGGCUAACUACGUG
rnacentral:rRNA from 1 species